AGUGAACGCUGGCGGUAGGCCUAACACAUGCAAGUCGAACGGCAGCACAGUAAGAGCUUGCUCUUACGGGUGGCGAGUGGCGGACGGGUGAGGAAUACAUCGGAAUCUACUUUUUCGUGGGGGAUAACGUAGGGAAACUACGCUAAUACCGCAUACGACCUACGGGUGAAAGCAGGGGAUCUUCGGACCUUGCGCGAUUGAAUGAGCCGAUGUCGGAUUAGCUAGUUGGCGGGGUAAAGGCCCACCAAGGCGACGAUCCGUAGCUGGUCUGAGAGGAUGAUCAGCCACACUGGAACUGAGACACGGUCCAGACUCCUACGGGAGGCAGCAGUGGGGAAUAUUGGACAAUGGGCGCAAGCCUGAUCCGGCCAUACCGCGUGGGUGAAGAAGGCCUUCGGGUUGUAAAGCCCUUUUGUUGGGAAAGAAAAGCAGCAGGUUAAUACCCCGCUGUUCUGACGGUACCCAAAGAAUAAGCACCGGCUAACUUCGUG
rnacentral:rRNA from 1 species